rnacentral:rRNA from 1 species
UACGUAGGGGGCAAGCGUUGUCCGGAUUUAUUGGGCGUAAAGAGCGUGUAGGCGGCUAGGUAGGUCCGUUGUGAAAACUCGAGGCUCAACCUCGAGACGCCGAUGGAAACCAUCUAGCUAGAGUCCGGAAGAGGAGAGUGGAAUUCCUGGUGUAGCGGUGAAAUGCGCAGAUAUCAGGAAGAACACCCGUGGCUAAGGCGGCUCUCUAGUACGGUACUGACGCUGAGACGCGAAAGCGUGGGGAGCGAACAGG